rnacentral:rRNA from 1 species
AUGGCUAACCAAGAUUUUCAACCUCAUUUUUCGGGCAAACAAGAUGCCAGAAGAAUGGAGACACGAAGUAUAUUAGUACCAAUCUUCAAGAACAAGGGGGAUGUUCAGAGUUGUACUAAUUACCGUGGAAUUAAGCUGAUGAGCCAUACAAUGAAGCUAUGGGAGAGAGUCAUUGAGCACCGCUUAAGAAGAAUGACAAGCGUGACCAAAAAUCAGUUUGGUUUCAUGCCCGGGAGGUCGACCAUGGAAGCCAUUUUCUUGGUACGACAACUUAUGGAGAGAUAUAGGGAGCAUAAGAAGGACUUGCAUAUGGUGUUCAUUGACUUGGAGAAGGCCUAUGAUAAGAUACCGCGGAAUGUCAUGUGGUGGGCCUUGGAGAAACACAAAGUCCCAGCAAAGUACAUUACCCUCAUCAAGGACAUGUACAAUAAUGUUGUGACAAGUGUUCGAACAAGUGAUGUCGACACCGAUGACUUCCUGAUUAAGAUAGGACUGCAUCAGGGGUCAGCUUUGAGCCUUUAUCUUUUUGCAUUGGUGAUGGAUGAGGUCACAAGGGGUAUACAAGGAGAUAUCCCAUGGUGUAUGCUCUUUGCGGAUGAUGUGGUGCUAGUUGACGAUAGUCGGACGGGGUAA